rnacentral:rRNA from 1 species
AGAAUCAACGCUGGCGGCGUGCCUAACACAUGCAAGUCGAACGAGAAAGUGGAGCAAUCCAUGAGUAAAGUGGCGCACGGGUGAGUAGCACGUGAAUUAUCUACCUCCGAGUGGGGAAUAACUGAGAGAAAUCUUAGCUAAUACCGCAUAACACUUACGAGUCAAAGCAGCAAUGCGCUUGGAGAGGAGUUCGCGGCCGAUUAGUUAGUUGGCGGGGUAAUGGCCCACCAAGACGAUGAUCGGUA